UUUAAGCAAGCAAAACCUGAUUGUGCUUACUUUCUGAAAACGGGAAGAUGCAAGUUUGGUUCCAAGUGUGCUUUCAAUCAUCCAAGCCAUGUUUUGGCUACAACUUCAGGUGUUGCUUCAGAAAAUGAUGAGGCGUCAUCCAUCCAUGAAGAGAGGACUGAGGAAUGUUCUUGCUCUGCAACCUGCAAAGGUAAGCACCCGAGAAGAGAGGACCAUAGCCAAAAUUAAGCUAAUCCAAGGAGCCAUUGAUAAACUGAAGAUGUAAUAAAUAUAGAACCCUUAUUGCAGUUGUUUUUUGUCUUUUAAGAUGUUAGAAAUUGAAUAAAAUUGUAGGUUUCUUUUAAUACUUUUAGUCUUG